rnacentral:rRNA from 1 species
UGGGGAAUAUUGGACAAUGGGCGCAAGCCUGAUCCAGCAAUGCCGCGUGUGUGAAGAAGGCCUUCGGGUUGUAAAGCACUUUUAUCAGGAGCGAAACGCUGUCGGCUAAUACCCGGCGGAACUGACGGUACCUGAGGAAUAAGCACCGGCUAACUUCGUGCCAGCAGCCGCGGUAAUACGAAGGGUGCAAGCGUUAAUCGGAAUUACUGGGCGUAAAGCGUGCGUAGGCGGUUUCUUAAGUCUGCUGUGAAAUCCCCGGGCUCAACCUGGGAAUGGCAGUGGAUACUGGGAGGCUAGAGUGUGUCAGAGGGUGGUGGAAUUCCCGGUGUAGCGGUGAAAUGCGUAGAGAUCGGGAGGAACAUCAGUGGCGAAGGCGGCCACCUGGGACAACACUGACGCUGAGGCACGAAAGCGUGGGGAGCAAACAGGAUUAGGAUACCCUGGUAGUCCACGCCCUAAACGAUGCGAACUGGAUGUUGGUCUCAACUCGGAGAUCAGUGUCGAAGCUAACGCGUUAAGUUCGCCGCCUGGGGAGUACGGUCGCAAGACUGAAACUUAAAUGAAUUGACGGGGUCAUAGCUGUUUCCUG